GACAGAGGGGGCAAGCGUUGCUCGGAAUUACUGGGCGUAAAGGGCGCGUAGGCGGGAUGGCAAGUCGGUCGUGAAAUCCCUCGGCUCAACCGAGGAACGUCGAUCGAUACUGCUGUUCUUGAGGAUUGCAGAGGAGACUGGAAUUCCCGGUGUAGCGGUGAAAUGUGUAGAGAUCGGGGAGGAACACCGGUGGCGAAGGCGGGUCUCUGGGCAAUUCCUGACGCUGAGGCGCGAAAGCGUGGGGAGCAAACGGG
rnacentral:rRNA from 1 species